AGGACGGGUGAGUAACACGUGGGUAACCUGCCUGUAAGACUGGGAUAACUCCGGGAAACCGGAGGCUAAUACCGGAUAGUUCCUUGAACCGCAUGGUUCAAGGAUAGAAAGACGAGUUCUCAGGCUGUCACUUACAGAUGGACCCGCGAGCGCAUUAGCUAGUUGGUGGGGUAAUGGCUCACCAAGGCGACAAUAGCGUAGCCGACCUGAGAGGGUGAUCGGCCACACAUGGGACUGAGACACGGCCCAGACUCCUACGAGGAGGCAGACAGUAGGGAAUCUUCCGCAAUGGACGAAAGUCUGACGGAACAACGCCGCGAUGAGAUGAUGAAGGUUAUUCGGAUCGUAAAGCUCUGUUGUUAGGGAAGAACAAGUGCGAGAGUAACGCUCGCACCUUGACGGUACCUAACCAGAAAGCCACGGCUAACUACGUGCCAGCAGCCGCGGUAAUACGUAGUGGCAAGCGUUGUCCGGAAUAUUGGGCGUAAAGGGCUCGCAGCGGUUUCUUAAGUCUGAUGUGAAAGCCCCCGGCUCAACCGGGGAGGGUCAUUGGAAACUGGGAAACUUGAGUGCAGAAGAGGAGAGUGGAAUUCCACGUGUAGCGGUGAAAUGCGUAGAGAUGUGGAGGAACACCAGUGGCGAAGGCGACUCUCUGGUCUGUAACUGACGCUGAGGAGCGAAAGCGUGGGGAGCGAACAGGAUUAGAUACCCUGGUAGUCCACGCCGUAAACGAUGAGUGCUAAGUGUUAGGGGGUUUCCGCCCCUUAGUGCUGCAGCUAACGCAUUAAGCACUCCGCCUGGGGAGUACGGUCGCAAGACUGAAACUCAAAGGAAUUGACGGGGGCCCGCACAAGCGGUGGAGCAUGUGGUUUAAUUCGAAGCAACGCGAAGAACCUUACCAGGUCUUGACAUCCUCUGACAACCCUAGA
rnacentral:rRNA from 1 species